GCCCCCAUCGUCUAGCGRCCCAGGACGUCGCCCUUUCAAGGCGGUAGCACGGGUUCGAAUCCCGUUGGGGGCACCA
rnacentral:tRNA from 1 species